CCUACGGGAGGCAGCAGUGGGGAAUUUUGGACAAUGGGCGCAAGCCUGAUCCAGCAAUGCCGCGUGAGUGAAGAAGGCCUUCGGGUUGUAAAGCUCUUUUGUCAGGGAAGAAACGGUGAGGGCUAAUAUCUCUUGCUAAUGACGGUACCUGAAGAAUAAGGCACCGGCUAACUACGUGCCAGCAGCCGCGGUAAUACGUAGGGUGCAAGCGUUAAUCGGAAUUACUGGGCGUAAAGCGUGCGCAGGCGGUUUUGUAAGUCUGUCGUGAAAUCCCCGGGCUCAACCUGGGAAUUGCGAUGGAGACUGCAAGGCUAGAAUCUGGCAGAGGGGGGUAGAAUUCCACGUGUAGCAGUGAAAUGCGUAGAGAUGUGGAGGAACACCGAUGGCGAAGGCAGCCCCCUGGGUCAAGAUUGACGCUCAUGCACGAAAGCGUGGGGAGCAAACAGGAUUAGAUACCCUGGUAGUCCACGCCCUAAACGAUGUCUACUAGUUGUCGGGUUUUAAUUAACUUGGUAACGCAGCUAACGCGUGAAGUAGACCGCCUGGGGAGUACGGUCGCAAGAUUAAAACUCAAAAGGAAUUGACGG
rnacentral:rRNA from 1 species